rnacentral:rRNA from 1 species
CAGCCGCCGCGGGAAUACGAGGGGGGCAAGCGUUGUUCGGAAUUAUUGGGCGUAAAGGGCGCGUAGGCGGUUUGACAAGUCUGAUGUGAAAUCUCUGGGCUCAACCCAGAGUCUGCAUCGGAAACUGUCGAGCUUGAGUAUGGGAGAGGUGAGUGGAAUUUCCGGUGUAGCGGUGAAAUGCGUAGAUAUCGGAAGGAACACCUGUGGCGAAAGCGGCUCACUGGACCAUUACUGACGCUGAGGCGCGAAAGCUAGGGGAGCAAACAGGAUUAGAUACCCCCGUAGUCCCUGUCUCUUAUAC